CAAAUCUAAUUUUACUCGUCACAACACAUGGUUAGUAGAUGUUAUUGUGACUGUAGCGAAAUGCUUGUGCUUCUAGUUCCGACAGUGCAGUAUUAUCUAACAAGUAAUAUCUAACCAUUUCACAACAAAUACCUAAUAGACAAUCCUUUCACAUGGAAAUGCCCUACUGUANNNNNNNNNNGCAGGCAGAGAUGGAGGUUUACUUCCCGAGAGAAGAGAAGAAGACCUGUACAGAGAAGGAAGCCCACAUGCUUGAGUUGAUGGGGAAGGAUCGAACGAUCCGAAAUCAGAAGAAGGAGAUGGGCAGACUCCAAGUGUGCCUCUGGGAGGAGGAAAAGAAGAAGAGGAAUGGUGAAACGGAGAAGGACAAGAUCAUUGAACAAUUACAGUCUGAGACAGACCAUCUCCGAGCCCUUUUAAAAGAUGAAAGGAGGAGAAGAAGAGUAGAAAGGGGUAUCAUGAAAGAGUGGAAGGCUGAGAUCCUGAGACUGAGGGAGGCAGAGAGCCAGAGGGAGGCAGAGAGUCAGAGGGAGUCAGAGAGCCAGAGGGAGGCAGAGAGCCAGAGAGAUUCAGAAAGACAGAGAGAAGCAGAGAGACAGAGAGAAGCAGAGAGACAGAGAGAAGCAGAGAGACAGAGAGAAGCAGAGAGACAGAGGGAGGCAGAGAGACAGAAGGAAGCAGAGAGACAGAGGGAGGCAGAGAGACAGAGAGAAGCAGAGAGACAGAGGGAAGCAGAGAGACAGAGGGAAGCAGAGAGAGCCACAGAAGCAAUGGAGCACCAGAGAAAACUGCAGGAGAUCCACAGACUAAAACAACUGCUGGAUUUACUGAUGGUGGACCUACAACUGGCCCACCAAGAGAUUGAGAGAUUGAGGCUAUGGCAGAAAGUCAUGGAGGAUCAGCGACCAAGACUGGCCUGGAACAACAAACCUAUUGAAACAGGAAGAGAGAGGGAAAGAGAGAGGGAAAAAGAGAGAGAAAGGGAGAUGGAAAGGAAGAGAAAAGCAGAAUUGGAAAGACAAGAAAUGAAGAAGAAAGUGGAACAGGCAGAAGAAACGAUAAAAGCGUUAGAACGAGAGAUUGAGAGAUUGAAAGAGAUUGAGAAAGUCAAACUGGUUAACGAAAAGGUAAAAGAGUUAGAGAGAGAGGUUGAGAGACUGAAAGAAGAUAUGACAACAAAAGAGAUUCAAUACAAAAUCAAAUUUGAAAGAGCGAAAGAAGCGUUUAGAAGACAGAAUGAGAGAGUGAAACAGGUUAACCAAAAUGUACUAGUGUUAGACAGAGAGGUUGUGAGAAUGAAAGAAGAGAUUAGAUUGAAAGACGAGACUGAACCAGAGAGAACAUUUGAUAGAGACAGAGAGAGAGAAAAUGAUUGGAGACGAAGUGAAGAGGAGUUGAAAAAUAGAGUGGAGAGAGAGAUGGAGAUGGAGACAGCCCUCAUCAAUGACAAAAAGACGUCUGAAUUGGAGGAAGUCUUCAAGAAAAUCAAGGAACAGCAGAUAGAAUUAGAAAAUAUGGAAACAGACAAAUAUAAAUGGAAACAGAACCAAAUGGACAUGGAGGAGAAGAUGGAGGGUGAGCACAACAAACAGAAAGAGGUAGAAAGAAAGAGAAUGGAGAAAAUACCAAAACAGAGACAAGAAGAAGAUGAGAAGAAGNNNNNNNNNNGCAUCUCCCCAAUAGCCUACAGAAAACUUUCCUGA
rnacentral:lncRNA from 13 species